AAUGCCACUUCUUCAAAUUAGACUCGCCCAGGCCAAAAACCGACUUCUGUGCAUGGGCCACGAAGUUCCAAUCGCACUGUAAGUGUGCGCCUACACGUGGUAUUUUGUGGAAGAGCCACACUCAAGGGGCCAAAGAGCCGCAUGUGGCUCACGAGCUGCAGUUUGCCGACCACUGGCCUAGAG